GUUAUACUUCCAGAGAACCUGUUGCAACACAGCGUACAGAGACCACUGUCACUUGGGAUUCACCAGCUGAGCCUUCUUCAACCAGGGCCAUUCCAAGUACAAAGUCACGCAGUAUUGGGCCUGCUGUUUCUACACCACCACGAGGUUAUACUUCCAGAGAACCUGUUGCAACACAGCGUACAGAGACCACUGUCACUUGGGAUUCACCAGGUUAUACUUCCAGAGAACCUGUUGCAACACAGCGUACAGAGACCACUGUCACUUGGGAUUCACCAGGUAAGUUACCAACCAAAGGAGAUGGGUAAUAGAUUUCCAGCCAUUAGCAUCAUAUCUGUGUAUUUAAUAAGCACCUAUC
rnacentral:lncRNA from 1 species